CAUUUUUCUAUUUCUUUCUCAUUCUCUUCCAUUUUAAACUUCAUCUUUAUCAUAACUUUGUGUGGCCUCUAAACUUUCUCUCAUUCCACUUCACUUUCUCAAGUUCUCUUUUCUAGAAGAUAAAAUCUUCAUUUGUUUGCUUACACCUAUACUUAUCGGCAGGUUUUCGUAGAGAUUAAAGUAUCCUCACAUAUUUCCGGGUUCUCUUUUCUAGAAGAUAAAAUCUUCAUUUAUUUGCUCACACCUAUAUUUAUAGGUUUUGUGAGAAAUUAUUGUCUCCUCACAUAUUUACUGAAAAGUCAUGGCAGAACUUGUUGCUGGAGCAUGCCUUUCGUCUUUCUUUCAAAUGAUUUUUGAUAAGUUGGCUUCAAGUAAUUUCACUGACUAUUUCCGUAGAGGCAAGCUUGAAAAGUUGGUGGAGGAACUUGAGUCAACCCUUGAUUCUAUCAACCAAGUGUUGGAUGAUGCAGAGAUUAAACAAUACCAAAUCCGAAAUGUCAAGAAGUGGCUUGGUGAUGUUAAACAUGCUAUGUAUGAGGCUGACCAACUCUUGGAUGAGAUUGCCACUGAUGCACUAUUGAAGAAGAUAAGAGCUGAAUCUCAACCUACUACCAGUAGGAACAACUAUUUUGGUUAUGUUUCAACUUUUAUUAAUCCAUUUGAAUCUCGAGUCAAAGAAUUGCUAAAGAAUCUAAAGCAUCUUGCUGAGCAAAAAGAUGUGCUGGAAUUGAAAAAUGGAUCUUUGACUCGUAAUGAAGUUGGAGUCAGCUCGAAACCUUUAGAAAGACCGCAAACUUCCUAUUUGGUGGAUGCAUCCCGCAUAUAUGGUAGAGAUGAUGAGAAAGAUGAAAUGAUCAAAUUUUUACUUUCAAACAAUGGCAGUGACAAUCAAACACCUGUGUCUAGCAUAGUUGGUCUGGGUGGGAUUGGCAAGACCACCUUUGCUAAGCUUGUGUACAAUGACAGUAGGAUUGAGAAUCAUUUUGAACAUAAAGCAUGGGUUUAUGUUUCUGAAUCUUUUGAUGUUGUUGAACUCACCAAAGCUAUUCUCAAGUCAUUUCAUUCUCCGGCAGAUGAUGAUGAAUCUAUUCUCAAUUUACUUCAACAGAGACUACAACGCGUACUAACGGGCAAAAAAUACUUGCUUGUUUUAGAUGAUAUAUGGAACGCGAAUGCGGAUUGUUGGGAGCAGUUACUACUUCCUUUUAACCAUGGAUCUUACGGAAGUAAGAUUAUAGUGACAACACGUGACAAGGAGGUAGCAAAUGUUUUGAAAUCCACCAAGUUACUUGAUCUACAGAAAUUGGGGAAAAGCGAUUGUUGGAGUUUAUUUGCAACACAUGCGUUUCAUGGCAAAAAUGUGUGUGAAAAUCCAAACCUUGAAUCAAUUGGCAAAAGAAUUGUGGAAAAGUGUGGAGGAUUGCCUUUAGCUGUAAAAACAAUGGGCCAACUGUUGCGAAAAAAAUUCUCUCAGCAUGAAUGGAUGAAGAUAUUGGAGACUGAUAUGUGGCGUUUAUCCGAUGGGGACAACAACAUUAACCCAGUGCUGAGAUUGAGUUACCAUAAUCUACCUUCCAAUCAUAAACGUUGUUUUGCUUAUUGUUCUAUAUUUCCUAAAGGUUAUUGGUUUAGAAAAGACGAUUUAAUCAGGAUUUGGAUGGCAGAAGGUUUGCUUAAGUGUUGUAGAACAGAAAAAAGUGAAGAAGAGUUGGGUAAUGAAAUUUUUGGUGAUCUAGAGUCAAUUUCAUUUUUCCAACAAUCAGCCUACUAUGACUCUGACAUGCAUGACCUUGUUAAUGAUUUGGCUGAAUCAGUGUCAGGAGAAUAUUGUAUGCGAAUAAACGAAGCUAAGGUGGAAGGUAUCCCUGGAAGAACACGUCACAUUAGAUGGUCUCUUCAAUCAAAUUUUGUUGACAAAUUACUAGAGCCAAUUUGUGAGCUUAAGGGCCUACGUAGUCUUUUAUUAGAAGGCGACUUUGGUAUAUUGAUAAGCAGCAAUGUGCAACGUGAUAUGUUUUCAAGACUAAAAUAUUUGCGAAUAUUAUCAUUAUUUUUUUGCGGCAUCUCAGAGCUAAUUGAUGAGAUAAGCAAUUUAAAGCUUUUGCGUUAUCUAGAUCUUUCUAUUAAUAGAAUUUCAAGGUUACCUGACACCAUUUGUAUGCUAUAUAAUUUGCAAACACUCUUGUUGGAUGAAUGUAAUGAAUUGACUGAGCUCCCUUCAAAUUUUUACAAACUCAUCAAUUUACGCCACCUUGAACUUCCCGGUUCUAUAAAGAAGAUACCAAAGAAUAUAGGAAGUCUAAGCAAUCUCCAGACCUUAAAUUCUUUUAUAGUGGAAGAGCAGAACGGAUCAGAUCUUAAGGAGUUGGAGAAACUAAACCAUCUUCGUGGAACAAUUUAUAUUAAAGGGUUGGGUAAAGUCAUAGAUCAUACAAAUGUUACAACAAGAAGUUUGAAAGAUAAGAUGUAUUUGGAAGAAAUAGGGAUGAUAUUUGAUGGCGGAAGAGAAGAUGUGGAUGGAUCAAUAGUUGAAAGCAAUAUGUCUUUGUUGGAGGCUCUUCAACCAAAUAGUAACUUGAAGAUACUCACCAUCAGCAUGUACAGAGGUAAUAGCUUUCCUAAUUGGCUAAGUGGUUGUCAUUUACUCAAGAAGCUUUAUAUUUCAGACUGUCAUGGAAUAAAGAUCAUCGGAAAAGAGUUUUCCAGCCAUAACUUCAAGUCUCUUGAAAUUUUGGGCUUUGAGAAUAUGGACAAUUUGGAGGAAUGGUUAUGUAUUGAUGGGUUUCCUUUACUUACAGAGCUUUCUAUAACAAAUUGUCCCAAAUUGAAAAGGGUAUCACUGCCUCAACACCUUCCUUCAUUACAGAAAUUGGAGAUUGGGGAUUGCAAAAUGCUGGCCGUAUCAAUUCCCAUUUGUGAUAAUAUCAAAAAGUUAAAAAUAAAGAGAUGUGGUCGGAUUUUGAUAAAUGAGUUGUCAUCCAGCUUGAAAAGGUUCAGAGUUGAUGAAAAUCAGUAUGUUGAGUUCCCCAUGGGUCAUUUAAUCAAUAAUCCCAAUCUGGAAUUAAUAGAGUUGGAUUUCAAGGACUUUGUAGAAUGUCCUUCUUUGAAUUUGUGUUGUUAUAAUUCUCUUUGGGGAUUUUCAAUAACAGGAUGGAAGUCCUCCUCCUUGCCUUUUUCACCACACUUGUUCACCAAUCUUAAAUAUCUAGGGCUGUCUAAUUGUCCAGAAUUAGAAUGUUUUCCUAUGGGAGGUUUCCCUUCCAACUUGACCAAUCUUAAAAUAGUUAAUUGUCCUAAAUUGAAAGCUUCGAGAGAGGACUGGGGUUGUCUCCACCACAAAUCUAAUGUUUAUAUUAUUAUUCACAAUUGCCCUAGUCUUGAGCACUUGCCAGAGGAGUGGGGUUCCAUUUUUGAUUUGGAGAUUGAAGAUUGUCCAUUACUUAAGGAGAAGUACCAAAAGGAGGGAGGAGAACGUUGGCAUACAAUUAGUCACAUCUAUGAAGUGAGGAUUGACGGUUUUGAGCAGCCUUCUUUUAUUUCGGAAAAGGAAAUGAGUGACAGUGACAAGUCUAUGUAAGCCGAUCCAAUUGGCAGACGUUUCCGGAUGGAGGCAGGCUUAAGUUAGUUAUUUACAUGUUUGAGAUUUAUCAUGGAAGUCAAAGGCAUGAUAUGUAUCAGCCUUUCACAUUCAUGAGAUUUUCAUUCAAAGAUAGCAGGAGAGUCCGCGGUACUCCCUUAAUACUUUGAUCAUUCACAGUUAUCCGUUACUUAAGGAGAAGUACAAAAAGGAUGGAUGUGAGCGUUGGCAUACAAUUAGUCACAUCCCUACUGUGAAGAUUGACGGUAUUCAGCAACAUUAGAUUGACGGAAUUGAGCGGUAGAAAUGACU